rnacentral:rRNA from 1 species
UGGGGAAUAUUGGACAAUGGGCGCAAGCCUGAUCCAGCCAUGCCGCGUGAGUGAUGAAGGCCCUAGGGUUGUAAAGCUCUUUCACCGGUGAAGAUAAUGACGGUAACCGGAGAAGAAGCCCCGGCUAACUUCGUGCCAGCAGCCGCGGUAAUACGAAGGGGGCUAGCGUUGUUCGGAUUUACUGGGCGUAAAGCGCACGUAGGCGGACUAUUAAGUCAGGGGUGAAAUCCCGGGGCUCAACCCCGGAACUGCCUUUGAUACUGGUAGUCUUGAGUUCGAGAGAGGUGAGUGGAAUUCCGAGUGUAGGGGUGAAAUUCGUAGAUAUUCGGAGGAACACCAGUGGCGAAGGCGGCUCACUGGCUCGAUACUGACGCUGAGGUGCGAAAGCGUGGGGAGCAAACAGG